rnacentral:misc_RNA from 1 species
CUAACUUUGAGGAACAAUUUAACAGAUUCAGUCCAAUUCCUUCCCAGUUCAAGCCCAUAUUACAUCAAGUCCAGGGUCCAUUCAACAAUUAAUAAUCAGGGACUUCAACAGAGAGGUUAAACAAUUAUGUUGGCAAACGACCAUUUCAUCUGUAUUUUUAAUGUUUUCUCGUACUUUACAACAAAAACUGAGGCUUGGGUUGUGCAAUCCAGCAGCUUAAACGCAAAUAGUAAACCCCCUGAAGUUUCUCAGCAAAUUCAGGAAUUACAUCUGGUAAAUAGUAAUGUCAAAGCAUUGCUGCAGUUGCAGACAGUAUAGGAAGAUAAGUGGAUACUGUUUAACAUUACAGGGCACAUGUAAAGUGUACAGUCCAGGAAAGCACCUCUAUGUCUCCUCUAAGCUGAGCCCAUCAUCAUGCUCAACUGUAUCUGGAAAAAACUCUUCAUUUGGAUACAUCUUC